GGCAUUGUGGCUCAGUUGGUAGAGCAUGGUGUUUGCAAUGGUAUUUGCAACGCCAGGGUUGUGGGUUCGAUUCCCACGGGGGGCCA
rfam:Salmo salar isolate Sally breed double haploid chromosome ssa19, whole genome shotgun sequence.